rnacentral:lncRNA from 1 species
CUCUUUGAACCUGGAAGAAGGAAGAGGAGGAGUUGCCUGGAGCAGCUUGAGAAACCAUCAUUUAAAUUACAAGCCUGGGAAUAUCUUUGGCUGUGAAGAAGAAGGACGUUUCCAUUCUUCUGCUGGACUGAUAGAACAGACCACCCUUGGAUAUUUCUCUUGGGACUUUGGACUUUGCCCACCAAAAGACUCUAUUUUGACAUGGACAAGAACUGAACAGAAUGAGAAAGCAUCAAUGAAAUAUAAUUUGUACUGACAGAGCAUACAGACGUUAAUGAGAUCAAAGAUGCCCUGAAGUAUUUGUCUAACUGUCUCUUUAACUGUUUUAUAACCUCAGUCAGUGGAAGAGACUGUUUGUAUCUACUUGGAUCAUGCAAUUUUUUUGCAUAUAAUAUAGGUGCUUAAUAAAUAUUUACUAUUUAAUUGAUUUUAAAAGUUA